rnacentral:rRNA from 1 species
GUGGGGAAUUUUGGACAAUGGGGGAAACCCUGAUCCAGCCAUGCCGCGUGCAGGAUGAAGGCCUUCGGGUUGUAAACUGCUUUUGUACGGAACGAAAAGGUCCUUUCUAAUAAAGAGGGCUCAUGACGGUACCGUAAGAAUAAGCACCGGCUAACUACGUGCCAGCAGCCGCGGUAAUACGUAGGGUGCGAGCGUUAAUCGGAAUUACUGGGCGUAAAGCGUGCGCAGGCGGUUAUAUAAGACAGAUGUGAAAUCCCCGGGCUCAACCUGGGAACUGCAGUAGUGACUGUAUAGCUGGAGUGCGGCAGAGGGGGAUGGAAUUCCGCGUGUAGCAGUGAAAUGCGUAGAUAUGCGGAGGAACACCGAUGGCGAAGGCAAUCCCCUGGGCCUGCACUGACGCUCAUGCACGAAAGCGUGGGGAGCAAACAGGAUUAGAAACCCGGGUAGUCC